rnacentral:lncRNA from 1 species
ACCCUGCUCCUUGUUACACUCUGGCUUCCCAUCUGUGAACCUCUGAUGACCCUGAAUCUCCAUCGGCCAUUGGCGCUGAGGUACGAAGGACUCUGCUCAGAUGUCAGGCGUCCAGGGGUCCUCAUGCCCCAGAGGAGAUUGCACCGCAAAGUCCCUGACUCCAAUCUGCCACGUCAGGUACAAA